rnacentral:rRNA from 1 species
AUUGAACGCUGGCGGCAGGCCUAACACAUGCAAGUCGAACGAGUGGCGGACGGGUGUGUAAUGUCUGGGAAACUUCCCGAUGGAGGGGGAUAACUACUGGAAACAGUACCUAAUACAGCACACCAUCGGAUGUGUCCCGAUGGGAUUAGCUAGAGGUUGGGGUAACGGCUCACCAAGGGGACGAUCCCUAGCUGGUCUGAGAGGAUGACCAGCCACACUGGAACUGAGACACGGUCCAGACUCCUACGGGAGGCAGCAGUGGGGAAUAUUGCACAAUGGGCGAAAGCCUGAUGCAGCCAUGCCGCGUGUAUGAAGAAGGCCUUCGGGUUGUAAAGUACUUUCAGCGAGGAGGCGUUACUCGCAGAAGAAGCACCGGCUAACUCCGUGCCAGCAGCCGCGGUAAUUC